UCAAGCUGCCCUGCCUCCUGGAAGGGGGACAGGGGCUUCCUUCUCUGCAGGGAAACUUUCUCCCAGCUGUGAGCUGCCUUCCCCCAGCUGCUCUAAACUUUGAACAGGAGCCUGUGAGUGAGUGGGUGGGUAGCUGCUGGCUCAGAAACUUCCUGGUUGUGCAGAGUCAGCCAGGACACAGAGCAAAGACAUCUGCCAAAACCAACAGAUCCACCUGUGGCUAUACAGACUCUUCUAUCAUACUCAUCAUUGUGGUACCCAAUCUCCAGCAGUAUUCAUCUAAAAAUACUGUGAAUCGUGGGCCUGAUUUGCUAUUGCCUUGCAUCUUGUAUCAUCAUUUACACCAGUGCAAAGAUCUCUGCACUGCCCUCCAGUGGAUAUUCUCCGGCCUGCUCUUACAAGGGGCCAUCCUGCAAGCAGAUCAACUAAAAUGGCCCUCUUCACCUGCCUGGAUCCCCAAUGCAGGAUACUAUGCUGGAAGAUGUGAUUGCUAGAUGUGGGCCAUGAGUUGUAUUUAAUUUGCUGAAAUUAUUGUACUCAACGCAAUUUGAAUCCCAUAUUCCAGGGGGGCAUUCUAAGCUCAACAAAGAAAACCUCUUUUAUCUGAAGUCACAAGUACUACUGGAAGGAAGAAGUUAGAGAAAUCCUCUCAUCUCCCCAACAUAGGAUUAUUCCCAGUUAUCCAUUUUAUAAAACACAAAUCUGUUGGUUUCACAGUGGGAAUAAAUCGGGAAUAAGUCAUCCCAGGCUUAACCACAAAAGCUUUUACUGUGUUGAAGAUUUUUUUUUUAUUAUUUUUUUUGUCCUCCUAUUGAAAGAUCUUUUCACCAAUGCCAGGAAUUAUUGCAGCUGCUAUUAAUUAACAUUUUAAAGCUGGGAAAUCCUUUCAGAAUGUAGAUACUUUAUAUAUAAACUCACCUCAGUUUGUCUGUUUAAACAGAGUAUCUUAAUAUCCCAUUUCAGCUUCUGAAAUAGCAGCUUAAUGUGAAUUUAGUUUUUCUGCUCUUUCAGCAGUGUUGAGUGCAAUAGCCAUAAAUUCAUAAGUUUUAAGGCCAGAAGGGACAAUUGUGUCUAGUCGUCUAAUCUGGCCUCCUGCGUAACAUAGGGUCAGGAUUGCAC